rnacentral:rRNA from 1 species
UACAGAGGUCCCAAGCGUUGUUCGGAUUCACUGGGCGUAAAGGGUGCGUAGGCGGUCGGGUAAGUCUGAUGUGAAAUCUCACAGCUUAACUGUGAAACUGCAUUGGAUACUAUCCGGCUAGAGGAAUGGAGGGGAGACUGGAAUACUUGGUGUAGCAGUGAAAUGCGUAGAUAUCAAGAGGAACACCUGAGGUGAAGACGGGUUGCUGGGCCGACACUGACGCUGAGUGCGCGAAAGCCAGGGGAGCAAACGGG